rnacentral:rRNA from 1 species
UUUCUAUGGAGAGUUUGAUCCUGGCUCAGGACGAACGCUGGCGGCGUGCCUAAUACAUGCAAGUCGAGCGGAGUUUUGAAAAGCUUGCUUUUCAAAACUUAGCGGCGGACGGGUGAGUAACACGUGGGCAACCUGCCCUUGAGACGGGGAUAACUCCGGGAAACCGGAGCUAAUACCGGAUAACACAUAUCUUCGCAUGAGGAUAUGUUAGAAGGUGGCUUUUAGCUACCACUCAAGGAUGGGCCCGCGGCGCAUUAGCUAGUUGGUGAGGUAACGGCUCACCAAGGCGACGAUGCGUAGCCGACC